rnacentral:lncRNA from 1 species
CAGCCUUACCACCUGAUCAUCGUCCAGGACGGAGAUCCGUCGAAGAAGAUUCAUGUCCCUGAAGGUUACGAUUACGAGCUCUACAACAGGAACGACAUCAAUCGAAUCCUCGGACCCAAAGCUUCUUGCAUUUCGUUCAAGGACUCCGCUUGUCGUUGCUUUGGGUACAUGGUGUCGAAGAAGAAGUAUAUCUUCACCAUUGAUGACGAUUGCUUCGUAAGUUUGUCGAAUUUUGGUUCUAGAUCUGUUUGUUUUUGGCUUAUUGUUUUCCCCUGUGUGGAUUUGUUUAAGCUCAUUGCUUGAAUUUCGUAGAUUUGAUGUGAGGUUAAUAUACUGGUUGACUAAAUUCGAUGGAUCUUAGGUUUGUUGAUAAUCCUUGUUCGAUUAGCUAGGUCGAUUAGGCAAGUCAAUGUUUUGUACCAGCUCGAUCCAUAUACCCGCUUGAUGAGUCUCGAUCUGGUUUCACUAGCCAUGGUUUCUGAUGUGUUCACUUCUCUACUUUAUAAGCUGGUGUCAUUGUUGUCGGGCUGAUCUCUCUGUGAAAAAACAGAUACCUUUACGGUUUUUGUUUGAACGUCAUUGUUCUUCACUUUUUUUUCUUUUGUUUACCUUUUGUGAUUUGAGGCGUAUAUUCAAGGAUGAGUCUCAAUUACGCUCUCUUUAGUUUUAGUUUACCAAGGAUCUGUAUUUUAGCCACUUGUCUCAUUCAUACUUGUUCUUUGAUGUGUGUUGUGUAUAGGUUGCCAAGGAUCCAUCUGGGAAAGCAGUAAACGCUCUUGAGCAACACAUCAAGAACCUUCUGUGUCCAUCGUCUCCAUUUUUCUUCAACACCUUGUAUGAUCCUUACCGUGAAGGCGCUGAUUUCGUCCGUGGAUACCCUUUUAGCCUUCGUGAAGGUGUUUCCACUG